GACUUCCAACUGCAAACCCUUACUGGCUGUUGUCCUCUGCCAGGCACUGUGCUGAGCCCCAUGGAGGCACCAGCCUCUUCGAUGGUGGCAUUUUAAGGCCUACAAUGGCAGAGAAACGUCGUGGAGGAGUGAGGGUAUUUCCAGCCAUGGCUGGAAACUGACCCUGAAUCCGAGCGUUCUCUGGUCUGGACAGAGUGCCAGGCCUGUGGCAAAGCAGGUAACCUUUGAAACGGAAUCUGAUCUGCUGUCGGCCACUGCCCAGGCCACAGUCUGCCAAAGGGACAGCUGAACGAAAGGCUCAACUUCCUCCUUCAUCAGCUCCAAGUUCCAGGACAAGAGGCAGAACCAGGUGCCACCGAGCCUGCCACAGGUUUCUGCUUCUUGCCAAGUGUCUAUCUCUUACUCUACCGACCAUCACCAUUGACGUGUGUGAGGGGACAUCUGGAAGCACAGUCCUCUAAGACCAAGGGUGAUGGAAAUCAUCAGACACCAAGCAGCUCAUGCGUUCCAGAGGUUUCAGGACUGAACGUUGGUUCUGUGGUUCCCCGUUUGGCAUCUGGCUUUCAUUAGGCCAUAAAAAACAGUUUACGGCCCUUCUGGUUGGAACAAUAACUUUCACAGUAUCCGUAGUGGCUGAGUGGUUAUCAGAGGAAGAAAGACCACUAGCAGUCUGCGUCCUUGCUGUCUGUCAUGGGCGGUGCCAGCCUACGUGUUAACCUAUUCAUCUCGCUUCAACCUUACACGGGUGGCAGCUGAGGCUUACUACCCCAGGAAAGGGAUGCCACCAGAGAAGGCAGACAACCAAGAUGGCGACUCUCAAUUUUUGAGCUCCUAAUUUUCUCAUGUCAGACAUAAGAAAAAAAAAUAUUUUUUAAAGAAAAAGCUUUAGGUUGCAAAAAUCUAGGCCUUUCAACUUUAAAAUCCUAUUCUUGCAAGCCUUGGAGAAUAAAGCUUAUGCAUAAACAGUAGAUUUGGAAACAGAAAUAUGCCUAAUUACCCAGAGCCAUUCUUUCAAUACGCCAGUGAUUGUUUAAAGAUUCUAUAGGCUGGAGUCAAUGGCAGGAGGCGGGUGGGAAAAGAGUCAAGAGGGAGGAGAGAAGAAGCAAGAGGGUUGGGUAGAUAUUGUCACAUGACCCUGAGAGGAGGAUUCUGGGUCAAACCCCUAGGGGGUUGUGUGUAAUGGAGACUCCAGAUCCAUUUGGGAAUCUGGCUCCAAAGAAGACUUCACCUUGCCUUCUGAGUGGAGCCCUGAAGUGGCAAGACUCAUAGAAUUCCCCCACGGGUCCACACAAGAGAGAAUGAAUAGAGAAGGCUGCGUGCUGGCUGGACCAAGGCAGCCUCGGGUGACACCACCACCACCACCGCCGCUGCCGCCAUCGCCAUCACCACUGCCGCUGCCAUCACCGCCACCACCACCACCAUCACCACCACCAUCACCACAUUAUGGACAAUAGCCCAAUGUUUCCUGAGUUCCCUAGAGGGUUGAAAGAGAAUAGGACCUAGAGAGAUCACAUAGUUGGGACAGGCACUCAUUAAUUUGAUCCAAUGACAAGAGACCAGAUGGGAAGAAGGAUGCCUUGAGAGAUGUCAGUGUGCACCCAUGGAUAGAAGCAGCUGGUGACUGGGUACUUGGGAAGCCACAUGGACACACACAAAGCUCCUGGAAGACGUUUUCAAGGAGUUGGGCUGUGCUGGGAUCCAGAACUGGCUGAAGAAACCAUGAGCUGACAUAAAAUUUCUGCCACCUAGCAGAAUGGAGGCUCCAUUUGGAAAUUAAAUUAUAUACUUAAAAAAACUAUAAUUGCUUCAUUUCUUUUUUUUGAGAUGGAGUUUCACUCUUGUUGCCCAGGCUGUAGUGCAAUGGCACCAUCUCAGCUCACUGCAAACUCCGCUCCCGGGUUCAAGAGGUGAUCCUGCCUCAGCCUCCCGAGUAGCUAGGAUUACAGGUGUGCGGCCACCAUGCCCCGCUAAUUUUGUAUUUUCAGUAGAGACGGGGUUUUACCAUGUUGGUCAAGCUGGUCUCAAACUCCUG
rnacentral:lncRNA from 10 species